rnacentral:rRNA from 1 species
AGUGAACGCUGGCGGCAGGCCUAAUACAUGCAAGUCGAACGGCAGCACAGCAGAGCUUGCUCUGUGGGUGGCGAGUGGCGGACGGGUGAGGAAUACGUGGGAAUCUGCCCAGUCGUGGGGGGAUAACGUAGGGAAACUUUCGCUAAUACCGCAUGCGCCCUUCGGGGGAAAGCCGGGGACCUUCGGGCCUGGCGCGAUUGGAUGAGCCCACGUCGGAUUAGCUAGUUGGCGGGGUAAAGGCCCACCAAGGCGACGAUCCGUAGCUGGUCUGAGAGGAUGAUCAGCCACACUGGAACUGAGACACGGUCCAGACUCCUACGGGAGGCAGCAGUAGGGAAUAUUGGACAAUGGGCGCAAGCCUGAUCCAGCCAUGCCGCGUGAGUGAAGAAGGCCCUCGGGUUGUAAACCGCUUUGUCAGGGAAGAAACGCCUUAGGAUAAUACCUUGAGGUAAUGACGGUACCUGAAGAAUAAGCACCGGCUAACUACGUGCCAGCAGCCGACGG